UCUCUAUCCGAUAGUGUCAUAUUCAAUAAUUAAUCUCAUUGAGGAUUUUAUUUUGCUCCAGGCGAGGUGAAGCGUGAUAGGAGGUGGGUAGAAACGCUAAUACAAGCUUGUUAGGAGGCCAAGUGCUCCAAAUUUUAAGCGCCCACUGGUGCAUUGAUCAUUAUUUUUAUAACGGCCUGUAUUGUGGUUAAAAUAUGUAUGUGUGCAUGCAUGUUAAUGCAGGGGCCUCUGGGGUCGCUAGUAAUUCGAUCCCGAGAACAACUCGCCUUUCAUUUCGCCUUCAGUAAAAUUAUUUAGCGGGAGGAAAUAAAUUUUGCCACGCUGAACCAAAAUAUUGCGAAAUGCCGUGGCAUGAAGCGCUUUUCACAGCCGUGUUAAAAAUAAAUGGAAUAUUUCCCGGGCUUCCAAGACGCUGCUGGGAGACUGUUGCUGAGAUGCCACGUCGGCUCAUUUCUCAGCGCCUGCUCUCUCCCGGGCUAGCCAUUCCAGCAGGCAGAAUGUCAGCAUUUGCAACCGGGUGUUUUUUUUGCAGUGGAAAUAUCGCAUGGACGUGACUUCUGACAAAUGCAGAGAGGGAGAGAAAGAGAGAUGGCGGGGGGAGAGAGUCUGGGAAACACACCACUGGUAUCAGCCCUCUCUGUCUCCCAACUAUUUAAUAAAUGGAACCGGAGCUGAACUGUGAUGCCGGAUAUUUCUAACACAAUCGGCCAAUUCUGAUAAUCGGACUCCCCAGGGCGUGUGUGUGUGGGUUGGGAUUGGUGGGGGUCUUGGUAACAGUGCCUCUGUUUUCAAUUUCCAUGCGCGCUGGGAUAUGUUUUCUGUCCGACAUGUUCUAUAUCCCUAUCCUCUAGCGUUGUGCACGGCCAGAGACUGGGUUCCAAAAAUGCGUCCACACGGUCUGUUUUUAAUCAACCAGCGUUGGAAAGAAUAUAUUAAUCCAGCUAACUCCCCUCUUCCAGUCCUCCAUGUAACAAGAAAUCUCGUGUAUUUGAUGCAAGCGAGGAAAAGAUCUUCUUACAACCACCCCUCACUGGUGGCCAUCGACUGUCACCUCACCAGGCUCAGCAUCAAAGAACAAAGUGCUGGAGGAACUCAGAGGGUCAAGUAGCAUCUGUGGAGGGACUAAGCAGACAACCUUCCGAGUCGGGACAUGUGCACUUUCUUGCGUCAGCUUCAAAGUGUGCUUGAUAAAACACCUCUGAAGCCUCGGUUCUCUUUCUGCUUCUAAACCAUUGAAUGGGUUUCGGGAUGGGAAUGGGACUUGCUGUCAUUCUCUAUGUGGUUAUAUUAAAAAUCAUUUUUAAUUGAA